CUUUUGUGUCCUUAGAUGCAACCAUUUAUGUUGGUGGAUUGGAUGAAAAGGUUAGUGAAACCAUUCUAUGGGAACUUUUUGUCCAAGCUGGACCAGUGGUUAAUGUUCAUAUGCCAAAGGACAGAGUGACAGGACAGCACCAAGGCUAUGGUUUUGUUGAAUUUUUAGGUGAAGAUGAUGCUGAUUAUGCAA